CCUACGGGAGGCAGCAGUAGGGAAUCUUCCACAAUGGGCGAAAGCCUGAUGGAGCAACGCCGCGUGGGUGAAGAAGGUCUUCGGAUCGUAAAACCCUGUUGUUAGAGAAGAAAGUGCGUGAGAGUAACUGUUCACGUUUCGACGGUAUCUAACCAGAAAGCCACGGCUAACUACGUGCCAGCAGCCGCGGGAAUACGUAGGUGGCAAGCGUUAUCCGGCUUUAUUGGGCGUAAAGGGAACGCAGGCGGUCUUUUAAGUCUGAUGUUAAAGCCUUCGGCUUAACCGGAGUAGUGCAUUGGAAACUGGGAGACUUGAGUGCAGAAGAGGAGAGUGGAACGCCAUGUGUAGCGGUGAAAUGCGUAGAUAUAUGGAAGAACACCAGUGGCGAAAGCGGCUCUCUGGUCUGUAACUGACGCUGAGGUUCGAAAGCGUGGGUAGCAAACAGGAUUAGAUACCCGGGUAGUC
rnacentral:rRNA from 1 species